rnacentral:rRNA from 1 species
GACGUAGGGCGCGAGCGUUGUCCGGAUUUAUUGGGCGUAAAGAGCUCGUAGGCGGCUCAUUGCGUCAACCGUGAAAACCAGCAGCUCAACUGUUGGCUUGCGGUUGAUACGGGUGGGCUGGAGUUCGGUAGGGGAGACUGGAAUUCCUGGUGUAGCGGUGAAAUGCGCAGAUAUCAGGAGGAACACCGAUGGCGAAGGCAGGUCUCUGGGCCAUAACUGACGCUGAGAAGCGAAAGCAUGGGGAGCGAACAGG